rnacentral:lncRNA from 1 species
GCCUGUUUGUGAAGAAUCUUUUAUAGAAUAGUUCCUGUUUUUCAAACCUCCGUAUCUCGGUGACCGUAACUCCGAAUCAGGUGAUUCAAAAGCCCACGAUCUCGCCUCGUCAAGCCUGUUCUGUUGGUACUAUUUUCACUAUGUUGUUACAUACUAGAAAUGACCAUAUUUUCCUUGCCCUUAUCUAGCCCCCUCUGAGAGAGAACCAUUCCAGCGAAUCGUUCCACGAUUUCACCGCACUUCUUUCCGGUGUAUCCUUCAUCCCCAGACAAGCCACGACAGCCACAUGCAUGAUGGCCAUGCAGUAGACAUGGUUUACAACUUGAAUAUUUAAAUAUUGUGUGCCGGUUAAUAUUUCAUCAAUGAUUUAUAUAUGUUGGUGCAUCCAUGUUUACCAUUAUGAUAUAGUCUUAUGCAUCUAGUUGGCUACAUGAUUUCUUGCUGCUCUUAUUGUUAAGCUCUGUUCUGGUAAUUAUUUCCGAUGCUAGUAGUCAUGCUAUGUUUAUAUGAAGUGUUAUACUUGUGCUAUUCAUGAUCAUCGCUAUGCCCUGCUCAUGUGCAUCUAGUAGAGUAAUGCUUUAUUGGUGUUCAUGUUAAAUGGUUAUGUAGCUCAUCCAUGUUUAUGCUGAUAUCCUGCUCAUAUGCAUGUCAGUGCAUCAUGCUAUUUUAUUAUGGCUCAGCUCAUUGCUACCUCUUGAGCAUGCAUUGGUUUUCCCUUGAAGAGGAAAGGGUGAUGCAGCAAAGUAGCGUAAGUAUUUUCUUCACUUUUGAGAACCAAGGUAUCAAUUCAGUAGGAUACGACACACAAGUCACCUAGUACCUACACAAACAAUCAAGAACAUUGCAACCAACGCGAUAAAGGGGUUGUCAAUCCCUUCACGGUCACUCGCAAAAGUGAGAUCUAAUAGAGAUAGUAAAGUAAAUAUUUUUGAUAUUUUUGUUGUAUAGAUUAGAAAGUAAAGAUUGCAAAAUAGUAAACGAGAUGCGAUGUAAAUAAAAGAGAUGUGAUAUAAUAGAAAAGAGACCUGAGGGCCAUAGGUUUCACUAGUGGCUUAUCUCAAGAUAGCAUGUAUUACGGUGGGUGAACAAAUUACUGCCGAGCAAUUGAUAGAAAAGCGCAUAAUUAGGAAGACAUCUAAGGCAAUGAUCAUGAACAUAGGCAUCACGUCUGUGUCAAAUAGACUGAAACGAUUCUGCAUCUACUACUAUUACUCCAUAAAUCGACCGCUAUCCAGCAUGCAUCUAGAGUAUUAAGUUCAUAAGAACGGAGUAACGCAUUAAGCAAGAUGACAUGAUGUAGAGGUAUAAACUCAAGCAAUAUGAUAUAAACCCCAUCUUUUUAUCCUCCAUGGCAACAAUACAAUACGUGCCUUGCUGCCCCUACUGUCACUGGGAAAGGACACUGCAAGAUUGAACCCAAAGAUAAGCACUUCUCCCAUUGCAAGAAAGAUCAAUCUAGUAGGCCAAACUAAACCGUUAAUUCAAAGAGACUUGCAAAGAUAUCAAAUGAUGCAAAUAAUAAUUCAAAGAAGAACCAAAUAAUAUUCAUAGAUAAUCAAGUUCAUAAAUCCACAAUUUAUCGGAUCUCAGCAAACACACCACAAAAGAGUAUUACGUCGAAUAGAUCUCCAAGAACAUCGAGGAGAACUUUGUAUUGAGAAUCAAAAAGAGAGAAGAAGCCAUCUAGCUAAUAACUAUGGACCCGAAGGUCUAUGGUAAGCUACUCACGCUUCAUUGGAGAGGCUAUGGUGUUGAUAUAGAAGCCCUGCAUGAUCGAUUCCCCCUC